rnacentral:piRNA from 1 species
UGAAUGAGAUGACUCUGUGGUCGGCCA